AGUAUCACCGCAGCUUCGUGGCUCCGCUCGUUGCGCAUUGGUUAAGCCAUUAAAAGUAAAUUAAAAAUUCAACGAACUACGUAAUUAUCCAUCGUCGCCGAAUUAUUGUGAAAUAUACGAACCGCAGCUGGUUCGUCGCGUCGCGCGUUUGUUUCGGGAGUGCCGUUAAAUACUUAUUGGACUAAAUAAACAUUAUUUAUAACUCCCAUUCGAUAGAAUCCUAAUUCGAGGUCCGGGAAUCGCACCCCCGCUGCUUGGCAGUGAAUAUUCUCACUGGAACGUUGCGCAUGGUGGGCGUGCGCGCUGCACCGCGACGUUCUAUGCCGAGUGCUCGUGCAUGAGGCAAUGCCGGGCCGCAUGUACGACAUGUUCGUAUGCAUGUUGCGCGGCUGUCAUCUGGUUGUGUGAGGUUUACACGCUCUGUCUCCGGCGAUCGGUUUGGUCCUAAGCGGUUAGAGUUCGGAUCGAUUGCCUUGGAUUCGCGCGUUUCUCUUGCUCUCGUCCACCAUCCUAAGGCUUUCUUAGAUUCUUGAUACCCUUUUUGGAUUCUUUGGAUCUGGGGUUUGAGCUGGGUGAAUUACGUUUAAUCUGACUUGGUCAGAACUUGGCCUUGUAGGUUAAGCUUGUGACGAGAGGCUGGCUCUCAUUUCCUGAUUCGUCUAAAUGCUAGACGUCGGCAAUGAGUAUCUUCUUCUCUCGUCCUGCCGGAGUGUCUUGUCGACGCCGCUUGGAUAUAAGAUCCGGUGGGACUGAUCUUGAUGAUCCGUUGGCUGGGCGUAUGAACAAGUCAAUUUUAGAUGUGAUUUUUGUGAGACAAGAGGCGUAGGAAUUCAAUACCAUUGAUUUCGCUUUCUUCCGCGUGGGACUUACCCUUGUCUGGGGCGGGUACGCGUGCGUUCUACUCGCCGACUCGGGGUGCUGAAUCCACGGUAAUCCCUCUGAAUGGGAACUCAUAUCAUGGAUUUUAUAAACUCGAAGUGUCGCAGUGUCACGCGAAAAACUAUAUAAAUAAUAAGUUCACGCGCGUAAAUUUAGUAUUAUUCGCGAGUGUUCCGCGUGUGCAACAAGAGGACAAUCUUUAGGACACUGAGAGGAGGAGGAGGCCUGGGAGAGGCAUCGGGCCCCAGCGGAGCAACCUUGGGUAUCAUCGUAGCUUCGUGGCUGAGUAACUCCGCUCGUUGCGCAUCGGUCGGUGAGUCAGUAAUGGAUCUUUUCUCAUUAUAUUUGCAUGCUUUUCAAAUGUUCUACGCAAGAUCAAAGCAUAAUAUUAUCGUGCGAUCGUAUCGGUAUUAUCGUGAGUGAGUGAGUGAGUUAAUCCAAGGAAGAGGAGGAAGUCUGGAAGGCAACCUUGGGGUAAGUAAUAUUUGCAACAUGUACAGAAUGUAUAUAUAUAUAAUGUAUCUAGACUAUGAAUAUUGUAUGUUACAGAUAGUUUUAAGAAAUACAUAAUUAUUUUAUAAAUGUUUUAUUUAUAAACAUAAAUUUGACUUACGAUUAAUUCGAUUUACGAUUGAAAUCUCGGAACAUAACCCAGUCGUAGUGCUUCAUUUGUAAGAGUAGCUGUGACCGAGAUAGAGGCAGAGAUAGAAAAAUAGAUAAAAGGUAAUAAUAAUGAAAAAAAUAAUAAUAGUAAUAAAAAUAAUUUUUAUUGUUCCAGGGGUUACUAUUAUGUAUAACAUUUCAAUUUCAUUACAUACCAUAAUAUAAUACAUAAUUUUCUUCAAAACAAUAAAAGACCACGCAAGAUCACAAGAUUAGGGCUAGACCAGGCUAGGCCGUUACAAGAUUGCACUUAUGUUAUAGCUAAACCUCAUUUUACUUAACGCUAAUGCUAUCUAACAUUAUAUACACAUACACACUACUACUCUCUAAAUUCAUUAUCACUCAGCAGCUUCUAAGGUAAAUGCGUGCAUUCUUGCACUCUGUCGCUCACUUCUUUCAUAUGACAGAGAAAUUAUAUUCUUUAUUAUUAUUAAAACAAAGAUAAUAAAAGUAACGUGCAUACAUAAGAUUUGAAAUGUGAAUUGUUCAGAAGAGAAGUAAAUUAGGUACUCCAAAAAUUACUUCUUUUUCUUUUAAAGAGACAAAUUACCUAAUUAUAGGCUGAAGAGAAGAAGGUACGGUGAUGUUUGACAAACAUAUACCUUGAACAUGUAUUCAACUGCAGAAAGUAUGUCAAUUUGGAAAGUAGUGUUACAAUCCGUCGUCGAGGUCAGUGAUCCUUUUCAAGGAUACAGCGAGCAGUCAGAUUCCUUCCCACGGGAUCGCCAGUUACAAUCGAUCCUAAAGGCCGCCGGUCCUGCCGCGCGCACGCUUCCUCUUCCGAUUUCCGAAUGUACGUUGAUUUGUCUGCGUCUUGGGAGUAGCGUGAGCGCAUCGGGCGUCUACUGGGCGAGGUGAUGAAUCAGGCAUCGUUCGUCGUCCACGUCGUAGCCUGCACUCACCCUCGCUCGACAUUAGCCGCGAGACUACUCCAUCAAGCGCGCCAGACGAUACGACUGUUGGUGGCUCGAUCUCUCCCAACCUCUUCGUCCUCCUCGUCCCACGGGAGACCAGUGGUCAUUUCCACCUAUCCGCGUCCCGAACUUACCACAAAAAUGACCGUCUCUCGCCCGGUCUCGCAAGUUGCGCAAGGGCUUCUCUCGAAGCCCGUAAAGAUAAUUAACUGAGUGCUAAAACAAAACGAGCAAUAUAUUACUGAAGGGAAGUAUUGAAAGCGAUAUAGUUUCGUAAAUUUUAAUUUCAAUUCUGUAAACACGCGAGAGUCACUUCUGUUUGUUCAUGCAGAUGAAGAGAUCGACUGCAAUUUAGUUGCAGUUCUGCAUUUUUCAGUGUCUCAUCGAAAAUCAAACUUGCGAAAAUUAUACAACCUUUAUGAAUUAUAGAAAUGUGUAAGUCAAGGACUCGAUAUCGAAUCGAUUCGAAUUGCACCGAAUCGAAUUUCUUUGUUUGAAUUAAAUUGAAUUAACACAAUUUUACCUGAAUCAAAUUGAAUUAAAAAUUUUUUUCAAUUUUUACUGAAAAAUAAGAAUUUGUUGUAAUCUUGAAUUUAUUAGGCACAUAAUUUCUUUCUUAUGUAAUUCUACACUGCAAAUACUAAAUAAAAAAUUACUACAUGAAUCAAAUGAGAGACAGCCCAAUGAAAUAUAUUACUUGUUGUUUCGAAAUUUUUAAAUAGUUUGGAUUCGAAUUAUAGAGAUUCAAAUCUGAAUUGAAUUGAAUCUUAUUGAUUCGAUUUGUAUUUGAAUAGUUCACAUAUCUCUAGUAAAUUACAUAUUUGCAUUAAAAAUAUCUCAAUGAUACUAUAAAUGCUAAAAGGAUUUUCAUUCUUUUCGUAAAUGUUCUUUUUGAUUUUUAACAGUUUCCGAAAGAUUAAAAUAAGUCACGUUUUCGAGGAUUCUCGAUCAAAAAGUAAGAACAGACGAAGGGAGAACCGUCGAUAUAUAUUCUCGUAUUAUGCGACAGGGGUCUGUAAAUAAGAUUCAGCGUACAGCUUCUUUCUCCCUUUCGAUACCUUUGGUAAACACGAAGCGUUGAAACGAGCACGGACACUACGUAAGGUGAAUCCGCACAGAUUCCGAGAAUGUGCAUAUAAUUAAGCGCACCGCGUGUCUUGCCGCGCACUCAUGUGCACAUACAUACACGUACGCGCGCACGUGCAGAACGACGUCUUUGUAUGGCGUGUAAGACGUGCUUACGCGUGCCUUAUAUAGAAUGUAAAUAUAUAUAUGGCUAGUUUCAUUGGGGUGGAACUUUUACUCCUGCGGAUCCUUAAGCGUUUGUUUUCUCUGCCGCACACUGGAUAGAAACAAUAAAAUCAGUGGACCUAGGCUAAAAAACGAGAUCGUGAUUUUAAAACUACGAAAGAUGUAUUGAAAAAUGAUCAAAUCAAAACCUUUAAAGUCCAUUUUGCCAUCAAUGCAGACUAAUUUUGAUCUUGGUUAAUUUACUCUUUAACUUUUUUUUAAUUCUAAAUUCUAGUUCUAAUUAAAAAAGAAAAAGAGUAAGUUAAACCGAGAUCAAAGUUUAUCUGUAUUGAUGGAAAUAGACAUAAAUCGAUUAAUAUAUUUUUAUUGAUACUUUUUUCGUCUCUCAUCAUUAUUUACAUUAAUGUCGUUACGACAUACAGUUUUUCAUCAGCUCAAUUUCAAUGAAACUUGAUAUUCGGGAGAUUUUUGGGGUCUUUGAUUUAAAAUGCAAAAUCCAAAUUUUUAAAUUUUAAAAAUUCAAGAUAACAAUUUCAAACUUCUUUUUUUAAUAAUUGUAGCGUCGGCCAAUUUUUGCACACAAAAGAUGCUCUUCCGCCUACUGUGCGCCAUUUUUUUUUUAUAAGAUUAAUGCACUAAACGCCUCUUUUUCAACUAUCAAUAUUUUAUAAAAAAGAGAAAAAUAGAUGAAAUAGAUUCCUUUAUUUGGUUCUGUUAGGAAUGAUAUAUUAUCAAUCUCUAUAUAAAAGUUUAUCAGAAAUAUAGCACAUCUGCAAAAGAUAUUGCGUAUCCUUUUUUAAAGCAGCAAGUUUUCUUGAAAUUGUUAUUUAAUAAUAAUUAUUCAUAUAUUUUUAAUUGCAAUCAUUUUAUUAAAAAAUAGAUGUACUAAACAGUAAAAU